GGAAUCUUCCGCAAUGGACGCAAGUCUGACGGAGCAACGCCGCGUGAGUGAUGAAGGUUUUCGGAUCGUAAAGCUCUGUUGCCCUAGACGAACAGCAAGAGGAGUAACUGCCUUUUGUGUGACGGUAUAGGAGAAGAAAGCCCCGGCUAACUACGUGCCAGCAGCCGCGGUAAUACGUAGGGGGCAAGCGUUGUCCGGAAUUAUUGGGCGUAAAGCGCGCGCAGGCGGUCAAUUAAGUUGGGUGUUUAAGCCCGGGGCUCAACCCCGGUUCGCAUCCAAAACUGGUUGACUUGAGUGUAGGAGAGGAAAGUGGAAUUCCACGUGUAGCGGUGAAAUGCGUAGAGAUGUGGAGGAACACCAGUGGCGAAGGCGACUUUCUGGCCUAUAACUGACGCUGAGGCGCGAAAGCGUGGGGAGCAAACAGGAUUAGAUACCCUGGUAGUCCACGCCGUAAACGAUGCAUACUAGGUGUUGGGGAUUCGAUUCCUCGGUGCCGAAGUUAACACAGUAAGUAUGCCGCCUGGGGAGUACGCUCGCAAGAGUGAAACUCAAAGGAAUUGACGG
rnacentral:rRNA from 1 species